AAUGAACGCUGGCGGCGCGCCUAAUACAUGCAAGUCGAGCGAGAAGACGUAGCAAUACGUUUGUAAAGCGGCGAACGGGUGAGGAAUACAUGGGUAACCUACCCUCGAGUGGGGAAUAACUAGCCGAAAGGUUAGCUAAUACCGCGUACGCUCCUUGGACUUCGGUUCAGGGAGGAAAGCGAUACCGUGGGUAUCGCGCUCUUGGUUGGGCUCAUGUCCUAUCAGCUUGUUGGUGAGGUAACGGCUCACCAAGGCUUCGACGGUAGCUGGUCUGAGAGGACGAUCAGCCACACUGGCACUGCGACACGGGCCAGACUCCUACGGGAGGCAGCAGUAAGGAAUAUUGCGCAAUGGGCGAAAG
rnacentral:rRNA from 1 species